rnacentral:rRNA from 1 species
GAUGAACGCUGGCGGCGUGCUUAACGCAUGCAAGUCGAGCGAGUGAGUUCUUCGGAACGAUCUAGCGGCGGACGGGUGAGUAACACGUGGGCAACCUGCCUCAUAGAGGGGAAUAGCCUCCCGAAAGGGAGAUUAAUACCGCAUAAAAUUAUCGAGUGGCAUCACACGAUAAUCAAAGGAGUAAUCCGCUAUGAGAUGGGCCCGCGGCGCAUUAGCUAGUUGGUGAGGUAACGGCUCACCAAGGCGACGAUGCGUAGCCGACCUGAGAGGGUGAUCGGCCACAUUGGGACUGAGACACGGCCCAGACUCCUACGGGAGGCGGCAGUGGGGAAUAUUGCACAAUGGGGGAAACCCUGAUGCAGCAACGCCGCGUGAGUGAUGAAGGUCUUCGGAUUGUAAAGCUCUGUCUUUGGGGACGAUAAUGACGGUACCCAAGGAGGAAGCCACGGCUAACUACGUGCCAGCCGCCGCGGUAA